rnacentral:lncRNA from 1 species
CCUGUUUUACCUACAUUGUUCCAACAUGCCAGAGGCUGUUCACCUUGGAGACCUGCUGCGGAUAUGGGUACGGCCCGGAGAUUUACAAGCUCUCCCCCGGAUUUUCAAGGGCCAGCGAGAGCUCACCGGAUGCCGCCGGAACCAUGACGCUUUCCAAGGCACGUGCCCCUCUCUCAGGGCGAACCCAUUCCAGGGCGCCCUGCCCUUCACAAAGAAAAGAGAACUCUCCCCGGGGGCAACGGAGGCCAUCGCCCAUCCCUUCGGAACGGCACUCACCCAUCUCUCAGGACUGACUGACCCAUGUUUAACUGCUGUUCACAUGGAACCCUUCUCCACUUCGGCCUUCAAAGUUCUCGAAUGAUUAUUUGCUACU